AGGCGCCUGAGCGUUGUUAUUGCUCCGAGGCGCUGUCUGUCUGCAAGGGCACUGGUGGGACGUGCGGCUUCCAUUUGUCACGUCCGGCACGCAGAGAGCCGCUGGGUACCUUCGAGACUAGAGAUGAGAACAUUGAAGCUCAAAUAGAUCAGGAAGCUUUAUCCACUACAGAUCUGAAGCAGCAUCAGAGAUGCAAAGAUCUUAAAUGGGAAAGAGCCUGAGUCAAUGCAAAAAGUCCAGUGUUGGCUGGAAAAUUGAGUGGAAGGAAGAGAGGUCUAAAAUUACACUGAUGAGGCAAGGUAUAAAAUCUGCUGAAAUUGAAGGGAGACAGUCUGCCUAAGCUGCAAGAGAACACUGCACACCACAGUCAACAAGAAAUGCCUGUGGAGGGCACUGGACAUGGGAGUUGCACCUAGAGCUCCACAGAGCUGACUUUUUUCAUUUCAAUAAAUACAUAAAUUUAUAGUGUCAUUUAUGAGGCUUGCAUAGCUUGCCAUUUUAUAUACAUAUCAUAAUUUAUUUUAUCAUUGUCCUAUUGGUAAAUGUUAUUUUGGUUUCCCAGUUUCCACUGUUACAUAUAAUGCUUCAGGAAAUGGUUUUGGUUAUCUUGAAGAAUUUGUCCAGUAAUUUCCUUACUAUUAAUUUCUGGCAGUCCAAAAUUCUAUGUCAAAGAGUAUGGGCAUUAAAAAAUAUUUAAUGGAAAAUACAUACAUACAUAGGUUGAUCAAAAUUCAGAUCAUACAAAAGGAUAUACAGUGAAAAAUAAGCCUCCUUCUUACUCCAUGCCUUCCAAGUCCCUCCUUUUUUUUCACAUAAAUGAUAGCAUAAUAUAUACAUGGUUGACUUUUCUUCAUUCAAAAUAUCUUGGAAAGAUUCCCAUGUCUUAUUUUUCUUUUAUUUUCUAUGCUAAAAAUGAAUAAUGAACCUUGAAGAUGUUAUGCUAAGAGAAAUAAACCAGAAACAAAAGGGCAAAUAUUAUGAUUCUAUUUACAUGAAGUACCUAGGGUAGUCAAAUUCAUAGGAUAGGAAUUAAAACAGUGGUUACUAUGGACUGGGAAGAGGGGGAAUGGGAAUUCGCUCUUUAAUAAGUACAGAGUUAGUUUGGGAUAACGAGAAAGUUUUGAAGAUAGGUAGUGGUGAUAGUCACACAAUAAUGUGAAUGUACUUAAUACCACUGAAUUGUACACUUAAAAUGGUUUAAAUAGUACACUUUAUGUUAUGUAUAUUUUAG